rnacentral:rRNA from 1 species
GAUGAACGCUGGCGGCGUGCUUAACACAUGCAAGUCGAACGAUGAAGCUCAGCUUGCUGGGUGGAUUAGUGGCGAACGGGUGAGUAACACGUGAGUAACCUGCCCUUAACUCUGGGAUAAGCCUGGGAAACUAGGUCUAAUACCGGAUAGGAGCGCCUACCGCAUGGUGGGUGUUGUAAAGAUUUAUCGGUUUUGGAUGGACUCGCGGCCUAUCAGCUUGUUGGUGAGGUAAUGGCUCACCAAGGCGACGACGGGUAGCCGGCCUGAGAGGGUGACCGGCCACACUGGGACUGAGACACGGCCCAGACUCCUACGGGAGGCAGCAGUGGGGAAUAUUGCACAAUGGGCGAAAGCCUGAUGCAGCGACGCCGCGUGAGGGAUGACGGCCUUCGGGUUGUAAACCUCUUUCAGUAGGGAAGAAGCGAAAGUGACGGUACCUGCAGAAGAAGCACCGGCUAACUACGUG